rnacentral:rRNA from 1 species
GUGGGGAAUCUUAGACAAUGGGGGAAACCCUGAUCUAGCCAUGCCGCGUGAGCGAUGAAGGCCUUAGGGUUGUAAAGCUCUUUCAGCUGGGAAGAUAAUGACGGUACCAGCAGAAGAAGCCCCGGCUAACUCCGUGUCAGCAGCCGCGGUAAUACGGAGGGGGCUAGCGUUGUUCGGAAUUACUGGGCGUAAAGCGCACGUAGGCGGAUCAGAAAGUCAGAGGUGAAAUCCCAGGGCUCAACCUUGGAACUGCCUUUGAAACUCCUGGUCUUGAGGUCGAGAGAGGUGAGUGGAAUUCCGAGUGUAGAGGUGAAAUUCGUAGAUAUUCGGAGGAACACCAGUGGCGAAGGCGGCUCACUGGCUCGAUACUGACGCUGAGGUGCGAAAGCGUGGGGAGCAAACAGGAUUAGAUACCCUAGUAGUCC